AACGAACGCUGGCGGCAGGCUUAACACAUGCAAGUCGAACGCCCCGCCAGGGGAGUGGCAGACGGGUGAGUAACGCGUGGGAACAUACCCUUUCCUGCGGAAUAGCUCCGGGAAACUGGAAUUAAUACCGCAUACGCCCUACGGGGGAAAGAUUUAUCGGGGAAGGAUUGGCCCGCGUUGGAUUAGCUAGUUGGUGGGGUAAAGGCCUACCAAGGCGACGAUCCAUAGCUGGUCUGAGAGGAUGAUCAGCCACAUUGGGACUGAGACACGGCCCAAACUCCUACGGGAGGCAGCAGUGGGGAAUAUUGGACAAUGGGCGCAAGCCUGAUCCAGCUAUGCCGCGUGAGUGAUGAAGGCCUUAGGGUUGUAAAGCUCUUUCACCGAUGAAGAUAAUGACGGUAGUCGGAGAAGAAGCCCCGGCUAACUUCGUG
rnacentral:rRNA from 1 species